rnacentral:rRNA from 1 species
ACUAUUGAUUCGGGCCGCAGCAGGCGCGAAACCUUUACAAUGCACGAAAGUGUGAUAAGGGGAUUCCAAGUGCUUAACUUACGUUAGGCUUUUGCCAAGAGUAAAUACCUUGGCGAAUAAGUGGGGGGCAAGACUGGUGCCAGCAGCCGCGGUAACACCAGCGCCACGAGUGGGAACCACAAUUAUUGGGCCUAAAGCGUUCGUAGCCGGUUAAUUAAAUCUUUUGUGAAAUCGACAGGCUUAACCUGUCGGACUGCAAAUGACACUGAUUAACUAGGGACCGGAAGGGGUAAGGAGUAUUCCAAGGGGAGCGGUAAAAUGUUAUAAUCCUUGGAGGACUACCUGUGGCGAAGGCGCCUUACCAGUACGGGUCUGACGGUGAGGAACGAAAGCUAGGGGAGCGAUCCGGAUUAGAUACCCGAGUAGUCCUAGCAGUAAACGCUGCGAGGCAAGGUGUUGCAUAUUUUACGUGAAUAUGCAGUGUCGAAACGAAGGUGUUAACCUCGCCGCCUGGGGAGUACGGUCGCAAGACUGAAAACUUAAAGGAAUGGGCGGGGGAGCACUACAAGGGGUGCGGCGUGCGGUUUAAUUGAACUCUACGCCGGAAAUCUCACCAUGAGCGACGGCAGGAUGAAAGUCAGGCUAAAGACCUUACUUAACAAGCCGAGAGGAGGUGCAUGGCCGCCGCCAGCUCGUGCCGUAAGGUGUCCAGUUAAGUCUGGUAACGAGCAAGACCUGUACCCACAAUUGCCAGCCAGCCGAUUUAGGAGAUGGGGAACAAUGUGGGAACUGCUUUGGAAACAAAGAGGAAGGUGCAGGCAACGGUAGGUCUGUAUGCCCCGAAUCCCAUGGGCUACACGCGCGCAACAAUGGUUGGGACAAUGGGAUGCAACUCUGAAAAGAGAAGCUAAACCUCAAAACCCAAUCCAAGUCCAGAUCGAGGGCUGUAACUCGCCCUCGUGACGAUGGAAUCCCUAGUAAUCGGACGUUACUAUCGUCUGGUGAAUAUGUCCCUGCUCCUUGCACGAAUUCGCCGAAUCCCGCG